rnacentral:rRNA from 1 species
UACGGGGGGGGCAAGCGUUGUUCGGAAUUACUGGGCGUAAAGGGCUCGUAGGCGGCCAACUAAGUCAUACGUGAAAUCCCUCAGCUUAACUGGGGAACUGCGUCCGAUACUGGAUGGCUCGAGUUUGGGAGAGGGAUGCGGAAUUCCAGGUGUAGCGGUGAAAUGCGUAGAUAUCUGGAGGAACACCGGUGGCGAAGGCGGCAUCCUGGACCAACACUGACACUGAGGAGCGAAAGCCAGGGGAGCAAACGGG